GUCACUUCUCAGCCUUUUGGCUAAGAUCAAGUGUAGCAUCUGUCCUUAUCAGUUUAACAUCUGAUACAUCUUCUAUUCAAGGACAAUAUAUUAAAUGGAUUUUGGAAUUUGUAGUCAGAAUGGGAGCUUGCUCCGUCCACUCCACGGAUUGACUUGGUAUUGCAGUACCUCUUGGAAUGGUGCACCAUUU
ensembl:snRNA U2 U2 spliceosomal RNA